CUACGGGUCGCAGCAGUGAGGAAUUUUGCGCAAUGGGGGAAACCCUGACGCAGCGACGCCGCGUGGACGAUGAAGGCCUUAGGGUUGUAAAGUCCUGUCAGCAGGAAAGAAAUGUGCAUAAGUUAAUACCUUAUGCAUUUGACGGUACCUGCAAAGGAAGCACCGGCUAACUCCGUGCCAGCAGCCGCGGUAAUACGGAGGGUGCAAGCGUUAAUCGGAAGUACUGGGCGUAAAGGGCGCGUAGGCGGCCCUGUUAGUCAGAUGUGAAAGCCCCCGGCUCAACCGGGGAAGUGCAUCUGAAACUGCAGGGCUUGAAUAUGGGAGAGGAAAGUGGAAUUCCCGGUGUAGAGGUGAAAUUCGUAGAUAUCGGGAGGAACACCAGUGGCGAAGGCGACUUUCUGGACCAAUAUUGACGCUGAGGCGCGAAAGCGUGGGGAGCAAACAGGAUUAGAUACCCGUGUAGUC
rnacentral:rRNA from 1 species